UUCGUAUAUGCGACUUUCGGUUCAUUCCACUAGACAUCAUAUGAAAUAAAUCAGAUGGCAAUUUUGAUUAUAUCGUUAGAUUCAGUGUGCUAUAAUAUUCUCUUGGUUGACUAGAAUGUUAGGAAAUCUAUCAUGGCUGGCAAACUUCUAGAAAUUGUUUUAAAUAGGUUUCUAGCUGACGGGAUAAAUUUGUGAUUGCUUCCCAUAUUUCUUUCUCAGAAUUCUUGUAGUUUGUCCUUGUAUAUGGUAUACUGAUGCUUGGAACUUUUACCUGCAUCACUCUACCCAGUUUGAUGAAUUAACAAAUGAAUCUGAUUCCAGUGGGAGGUUACCAGGUUCAUUUGGAGACAUCGAUCCUCAAACCACAAACUUAUAUGUGUUGUACGACUAUGAGCUGAAGAUUGGGUGGGUCAAAUAUGUUGCUCUUCCAUCACAAGUACUGCCUGGUCCUCCUCCAGGACAUAUGGCAAUCAGAAGCAAGGAGGAGAUGAAAGAGAAAAAAAAAUCAAGAAGUAAAUUCCUCCAUGAACUAAAUAGUAGUUAGUAACCGCAUGUACCUAUCUGUACACCUUAUGUUUCCUCACUUUACAUGUAUAUCAAUGCUAGAUCAGUGUUCCCGUACUGAUGUGUAUCAUGCUAGAUCAGUGUUCCCGUACUGAAAUUGUUGGCUACUCGAUGUGAAGUAAAGUUGUGCUUCUCGGAGGAGAACAAGAACUAAUCGCAGGAGAAGGGGUCGGGGAAAUCAAUAGC